rnacentral:rRNA from 1 species
AUUGAACGCUGGCGGCAGGCUUAACACAUGCAAGUCGAGCGGGGUGAUGUGCUUGCACUAACACUUAGCGGCGGACGGGUGAGGAAUGCUUAGGGAUCUGCCUGUUAGGUGGGGACAACAUUUCGAAAGGGAUGCCAAUACCGGAAUCGUCCUACGGGAGAAAGCAGGGGAUCACCUGUUACCUGGCGCUAAUAAAUGAGCCUAAGUCGGAUUAGCUAGUUGGUGGGGUAAAGGCCUACCAAGGCGACGAUCUGGAGCGGGUCUGAGAGGAUGAUCCGCCACACUGGGACUGAGACACGGCCCAGAGUCCUACGGGAGGCAGCAGUGGGGAAUAUUGGACAAUGGGGGAAACCCUGAUCCAGCCAUGCCGCGUGUGUGAAGAAGGCCUUAUGGUUGUAAAGCACUUUAAGCGAGGAGGAGGCUCUUUUGGUUAAUACCCAAGAUGAGUGGACGUUACUCGCAGAAUAAGCACCGGCUAACUCUGUGCCAGCCGCCGCGGUAA